rnacentral:lncRNA from 1 species
AAAGAAGACUGCAUAACAAAUUUAAUUACUUCUCUGUACUCCUGACUUAUGAAAUUCGAUAGUUCAAGGAAUAUAUGUCUUCCUUCUUGCACAUCUCUAAAGAGAAGAACCAGAGCCACUUCUUCCCUGCUUCUCACUCUUUCUCUAACCCCUCACCCUGUUACCCCCAUGCCUAGCUAGACUCCCUCUGGAUUGGAGAGCACCCUGCCCAGGAGCCCCUCAUAAUGGCUAUGGUGGUAUAUAAUUAUCCACCUCCCUUAAGUCAUUGACUUACUCGUAUAGGAUAUAAAGACUAGAGGACCUUUGUGUCCCAGAGAAG